rnacentral:rRNA from 1 species
UAGGGAAUCUUCCACAAUGGACGCAAGUCUGAUGGAGCAACGCCGCGUGAGUGAAGAAGGUUUUCGGACCGUAAAGCUCUGUUGUUGGUGAAGAAGGAUAGAGGUAGUAACUGGCCUUUAUUUGACGGUAAUCAACCAGAAAGUCACGGCUAACUACGUGCCAGCAGCCGCGGUAAUACGUAGGUGGCAAGCGUUGUCCGGAUUUAUUGGGCGUAAAGCGAGCGCAGGCGGAAGAAUAAGUCUGAUGUGAAAGCCCUCGGCUUAACCGAGGAAUUGCAUCGGAAACUGUUUUCUUGAGUGCAGAAGAGGAGAGUAGAACUCCAUGUGUAGCGGUGGAAUGCGUAGAUAUAUGGAAGAAUACCAGUGGCGAAGGCGGCUCUCUGGUCUGCAACUGACGCUGAGGCUCGAAAGCAUGGGUAGCGAACAGGAUUAGAUACCCUGGUAGUCCAUGC